rnacentral:rRNA from 1 species
CUACGGGAGGCAGCAGUAGGGAAUCUUCGGCAAUGGACGGAAGUCUGACCGAGCAACGCCGCGUGAGUGAAGAAGGUUUUCGGAUCGUAAAGCUCUGUUGUAAGAGAAGAACGAGUGUGAGAGUGGAAAGUUCACACUGUGACGGUAUCUUACCAGAAAGGGACGGCUAACUACGUGCCAGCAGCCGCGGUAAUACGUAGGUCCCGAGCGUUGUCCGGAGUUAUUGGGCGUAAAGCGAGCGCAGGCGGUUAGAUAAGUCUGAAGUUAAAGGCUGUGGCUUAACCAUAGUACGCUUUGGAAACUGUUUAGCUUGAGUGCAGAAGGGGAGAGUGGAAUUCCAUGUGUAGCGGUGAAAUGCGUAGAUAUAUGGAGGAACACCGGUGGCGAAAGCGGCUCUCUGGUCUGUAACUGACGCUGAGGCUCGAAAGCGUGGGGAGCAAACAGGAUUAGAUACCCUUGUAGUC